rnacentral:rRNA from 1 species
GCCCGCUCAGAAACUUAAAGGAAUUGACGGGGCCCGCACAAGCGGUGGAGUAUGUGGUUAAUUCGAUGCAACGCGAAGAACCUUACCUGGUCUUGACAUCCCGGAGACCCUUAGGAAACUAGGGGUGCUUCCAUCUGGAAGAAUCUGGAGACAGGUGCUGCAUGGCCGUCGUCAGCUCGUGUCGUGAGAUGUUGGGUUAAGUCCCGCAACGAGCGCAACCCUUGCCUUUAGUUGCCAGCAGUUCGGCUGGGCACUCUAAAGGGACUGCCGGUGUUAAACCGGAGGAAGGUGGGGAUGACGUCAAGUCCUCAUGGCCUUUAUGACCAGGGCUACACACGUACUACAAUGGCCGAUACAAAGGGCAGCGACACUGCGAGGUGAAGCCAAUCCCGUAAAAUCGGUCUCAGUCCGGAUCGGAGUCUGCAACUCGACUCCAUGAAGUUGGAAUCGCUAGUAAUCGUGGAUCAGCAUGCCACGGUGAAUACGUUCCCGGGCCUU